rnacentral:rRNA from 1 species
AGUGAACGCUGGCGGUAGGCCUAACACAUGCAAGUCGAACGGCAGCACAGUAAGAGCUUGCUCUUAGGGGUGGCGAGUGGCGGACGGGUGAGGAAUACAUCGGAAUCUACUUUUUCGUGGGGGAUAACGUAGGGAAACUUACGCUAAUACCGCAUACGACCUACGGGUGAAGGCAGGGGAUCUUCGGACCUUGCGCGAUUGAAUGAGCCGAUGUCGGAUUAGCUAGUUGGCGGGGUAAAGGCCCACCAAGGCGACGAUCCGUAGCUGGUCUGAGAGGAUGAUCAGCCACACUGGAACUGAGACACGGUCCAGACUCCUACGGGAGGCAGCAGUGGGGAAUAUUGGACAAUGGGCGCAAGCCUGAUCCAGCCAUACCGCGUGGGUGAAGAAGGCCUUCGGGUUGUAAAGCCCUUUUGUUGGGAAAGAAAAGCAGCAGGUUAAUACCCCGCUGUUCUGACGGUACCCAAAGAAUAAGCACCGGCUAACUUCGUG